AUUCUUGUUUGACAAAGCACAGGUGUGUGUCAGGGUUGUUUUCCAGCAGGGCAGCCUUGCUUCCCUCCAGCAAUGACUAAACUGGAUUUAAGCAGUGUACACAAUGUUCUGAGGCUCCAGGGCUGAGCCAGCUAAUACUUUCAGUCAUGCUGAACAUACCAUCCUUGUGUAGAGAUCAGCUAGUCCCCAGGGUCCCUGGGAGGAACGUGAAUCUCUCUUCGUAAGCCUGCACAUUUCCCGUCUCUGCUCCCUUAAGGUCUCUGACUUCCAGCCAAGGAGGACAGAUUGUCUAGAGGCUGUUACAGGCACAGCACCCACAGGUGGAACCAGUUUUUCAAGAGUGCCAACACAUGCUAUCUGGUGCUCAGAAUAAGGAAAGUGGCACAGCAGAUAGGAUGGAAAGUCUUACCACAGUGGGAUGGAGAGACUGAAAUGACAGUGACAGGAGAUAACGUACCAGGAAAAUAAGAAGAAAAGGAGUAACAGCAGAUUCUCAGCACACUGCCAAAGGCCUGGAGCUUGGGAAAGGUCAGAGCAUUAUCUGCGCUAUGGGUUCAUGAUUUGGGAUAAGGACAAGCAAUUGCUGUAGAACUCAAAAUACAAGAGCAGCUGGUUACUGACAUGGCAUCUGCCUUCAUGGGGACAGCAGUGAGACCCAUCAGAAAAUGAAGAGGAAAAGUAUUCUAGCUCAGUCACAAAGAAGUGCAUCAGAUAUAACAACUACUGAGAGAGAGCUUUUCAGCUUCCUCCCUAAUGGACACAGCUUCUGGAAUGCACAGACAAAAUUGCUCAUGAGGCACUCAAUUCUAGUUAACAAACCCAAACCACAGCAGUUAGCCACAAAUCAUAAUAAAAUGUUACAUAGGUCUUAGGUGUUAACUCUGUCAAACCGUAGCUGACAUCAAUUCCCAAAUUCAGGCAAUUACCCCAGAGGACACAUUUGUCUGAACCAUUAACUUCCCGAAACAGAUUCUCUUGGGCAUUUGCUCAAAAACCUUAAAGAAUAUUCAAACACAGCAAAGAUCAUAAUGGUAAACCAGCUUCUGCACCCACUAGUAAUGUUCAACAUCUUUCACAACAGGCCUUUGGUAUACUUACAUUAAUAUAUAUGAAAGUACUGGAGAAGUUAGAUCUAUUUCCUAGGGAUUCUCCACUGCAUUUAUACUUUCCCACCUUGCAAUCACACAGCCUAUCAAAAAUCAAAGUAAAUGUUACAUUUAAAUAGCCUGCGAUGUAGCUAUCCAAAGCAACUGCACAGCUAUGUGAUGCACUGCUUAUCUAAUUGAAACACUUUUCCUGUGUAUCAGUCAGGAAAAACAGACGUGAUUAAAACAAUAAACUGUUACCAUGUUUCCAAGAAUAACUGAAAUGGUAGAACUUUAUGCAUAAAAGAGCAGGUGGACUGCAAGAUUAAGGGGUGUUUGCAUAUCAUUUGGCUAAUUGACCUCACUCUUUCAAUCAUAUCUCAUUUUAUUGCAGCUCCCACUUUAGGCAAGUACUCUUGUAAGUGCUUUGAAUUCUAUCUCUGCUGUACCAACCCUGAGUUUACACUACAACUCACAAAACAUGCUUCUGGUGUAUAGCACUUUCCAUCAUGUCAAAAAUAGGAGUGGUGAAAGGUGUAAUAACCAGCUUCACACCCUGGCAGAAAGCAAGGGAGGGUUAUACAGCUAGAUUCUGCCACUUGUUGUAGGUGCAAUUCACACUCACUGGGAAAUGUUUCAGAACACUGGUGACCUUUGGGCUCAGCCCUAACAUGAGCUGGAUUUUCCUCAUGAUGCUGCCAGGUUACCCUGCAUGAAGCGCCGUGUCCUAUUCUUUACUGUAAAGGGUAUUCUGCUUUUGGGUGCAAGGCUGUUACAAAUGAGCCCAAGGCACAGGCUCAGCACCGAGCCAGGAGUCGGGAUUCUGAAUUUCUGUUCCCAGUGUUGUCACAUUCUAAACACAUUGCCUUAACUGAAUGACCUAAUCUGUUUAUUCAGCUGCAAAAUUGAGAUAAAAACUG